UCGUGAGUCGUUACUGGCAUAGAGCCAUGGCGGCGCGCUUCGAGCGGUUCAGCAUGAAUCGCGCGGGGCAUCACCAGAAAAAGGAA
rfam:Pseudomonas sp. 21C1 contig00008, whole genome shotgun sequence.